rnacentral:misc_RNA from 1 species
GUGAGGAUGAUGAAGCCCGUUUCCCUGUCACAGGCUAUAGAGUUAGCUAGGUUUCAAGAAUAAGUAUUGGAAGACAGUAAAAGGCCUAGAAGUACCAAUAAUUUCUCCAAGCCUUUCAAAAGUUAAUCUACUAUUUCUACAACUCUAUCUUUUUCCAAUCCUAAUAAACCAAUAUGCCAAACAAUAUCAGACCUAUCAAUACUCUCCAAGACCACCCAAUUUUGAUAAAACCAACCCAGGAAGUACUAAAGCUCAAUUCAGUAAUAGCUCUUCCAAACCACCACCUAUUACUACAUCUUCUGUAUCUAAAUCAGCAAAUUCUUCUUCAAACCCUAUUAAGAACCAACCUAAACCAUGUUACAGAUGUGUAGAACAGUAUUUUCCAAGGCACAAAUGUAAGCAAAAAUUAUUGAAUGCAAUAUAUGCAGAAGGGAAGGAGGAAAAUGGGGGUGAAGAAGAGUGGUUUGAAACAAGAAUGGAGAUGGAGGAGGGAGGGGAUCUUAGAGAUAACACUCUUUUAGUGCAUGCACUUGAAGGUAGUCAAGGAAUUGAUACCAUAGGAAUUUUACGGCUUCAUAAGAAUAGACAAUUAGUGGUAUUAAUUAACAAUGGUAGUACAACUAGUUUU